UCUCCGCUGGUGAACCAGCGGAGGGAUCAUUAUCGAGUUUAUAACUCCCAAACCCUAUGUGAACUUACCACUUGUUGCUUCGGCGCGCGCUUCGGCGCCGCCGAGGACACUUAAACUCUUUGUUUUUAUAAGCAUUUCUGAGUGGCCGAAAGGCAAAAUACAAAUGAAUCAAAACUUUCAACAACGGAUCUCUUGGUUCUG
rnacentral:misc_RNA from 1 species